rnacentral:rRNA from 1 species
UACGGGGGGGGCAAGCGUUGUUCGGAAUUACUGGGCGUAAAGGGCUCGUAGGCGGCCAACUAAGUCGGAUGUGAAAUUCCCAGGCUCAACCUGGGAACUGCAUCCGAUACUGGAUGGCUUGAAUUCGGGAGAGGGAUGCAGAAUUCCAGGUGUAGCGGUGAAAUGCGUAGAUAUCUGGAGGAAUACCGGUGGCGAAGGCGGCAUCCUGGACCGACAUUGACGCUGAGGAGCGAAAGCCAGGGGAGCAAACGGG